UACAGAGGUCCCAAGCGUUGUUCGGAUUCACUGGGCGUAAAGGGUGCGUAGGCGGUUUGACAAGUCUGAUGUGAAAUCCCGCAGCUUAACUGCGGAACUGCAUUGGAAACUGUUUGACUAGAGGAAUGGAGGGGAGACUGGAAUACUUGGUGUAGCAGUGAAAUGCGUAGAUAUCAAGAGGAACACCGAUGGCGAAGGCAGCCCCCUGGGCUAACACUGACGCUCAGGCACGAAAGCGUGGGGAGCAAACAGG
rnacentral:rRNA from 1 species